rnacentral:tRNA from 1 species
CGCAGGGUGGAGCAGUCUGGUAGCUCGUCAGUCUCCUAAGCUGAAGGUCGGCAGUUCAAAUCUGUCCCCUGCAACCA